UGGGGAAUAUUGGACAAUGGGCGCAAGCCUGAUCCAGCCAUACCGCGUGAGUGAAGAAGGCCCUCGGGUUGUAAAGCUCUUUUGUUGGGAAAGAAAUCCUGCCGGUUAAUACCUGGCAGGGAUGACGGUACCCAAAGAAUAAGCACCGGCUAACUUCGUGCCAGCAGCCGCGGUAAUACGAAGGGUGCAAGCGUUACUCGGAAUUACUGGGCGUAAAGCGUGCGUAGGUGGUUGUUUAAGUCUGUCGUGAAAGCCCUGGGCUCAACCUGGGAAUUGCGAUGGAUACUGGGCAACUAGAGUGUGGUAGAGGGUGGCGGAAUUCCCGGUGUAGCAGUGAAAUGCGUAGAGAUCGGGAGGAACAUCCGUGGCGAAGGCGGCCACCUGGGCCAACACUGACACUGAGGCACGAAAGCGUGGGGAGCAAACAGG
rnacentral:rRNA from 1 species